AAGUGUGUAGAAAACAUGUAGGACUACAAUGCUAACACUUAACAUCAUCAUAACAACAAGAAAUCAAGCAGCUAAAGUAUGGUCAAACCUUGUCAGAAAAAUCAACACUUAGAAAAUUCUGGGCUGCCCAGAAUUUUCCGGUCAAUGCCGGUCAACCCACUUUGACCUUAAAUAACUCUUAAUCCAUAAUAUAUAUGGACCUGAUUCUUUUUGGAGGUUAAAUACAACAUAACAAGCUACACAUAAAAACCUUUAGAACACAAAACACAUUAAAGAUAACCGAGAUAUAAGGCCUGACAUUUUCCAAAAUAAUAUUUUCUGGACACUUAGAAUAUUUUCUGGGUUUGAAGAACAGCCGGUCAAUGCCGGUCAACCCACUUUGACCGCUUAUAAAUACCGAUCUACAAUAGCUAUGAACUUUAUUCCUUUUGGAGAUUAAAGACCACAUAUCAGGCUACCUAUAACAACUUUUAAACAACAAAACUCGAGAUCGACCAAAGAGUUAUAGCCUCUGACAUUUGGUGAAAAAUAACAGAAUUCGGUUUUUCCAACUUGCUUAAAUCUUCAAAUUCGUGCACUUUGAUGUUAU
rnacentral:lncRNA from 1 species